UAAGGAACGGCAAUGGUGGCGUUACGAAUCGAGUCAGGACCGGAAGGUAGCAGCUAUAAGUAACAAAGCCAUGUGCCUUUAUUUGUUUAUUAAGU
rnacentral:SRP_RNA from 1 species